GCUGGCGGCGUGCUUACACAUGCAAGUCGAACGAUGAAGGAGGAGCUUGCUCCUCUGGAUUAGUGGCGAACGGGUGAGUAACACGUGAGCAAUCUGCCCUUGACUCUGGGAUAAGCGCUGGAAACGGCGUCUAAUACCGGAUACGACCCUCGGAGGCAUCUCCUGUGGGUGGAAAGAACUUCGGUCAAGGAUGAGCUCGCGGCCUAUCAGCUUGUUGGUGAGGUAAUGGCUCACCAAGGCGACGACGGGUAGCCGGCCUGAGAGGGUGACCGGCCACACUGGGACUGAGACACGGCCCAGACUCCUACGGGAGGCAGCAGUGGGGAAUAUUGCACAAUGGGCGCAAGCCUGAUGCAGCAACGCCGCGUGAGGGACGACGGCCUUCGGGUUGUAAACCUCUUUUAGCAGGGAAGAAGCGAGAGUGACGGUACCUGCAGAAAAAGCACCGGCUAACUACGUGCCAGCAGCCGCGGUAAUACGUAGGGUGCAAGCGUUGUCCGGAAUUAUUGGGCGUAAAGAGCUCGUAGGCGGUCUGUCGCGUCUGCUGUGAAAACCCGAGGCUCAACCUCG
rnacentral:rRNA from 1 species